GUCGAGAAUUUUUCUCAAUGGGGGAAACCCUGAAGGAGCGACGCCGCGUGGAGGAUGAAGGUCUUCGGAUUGUAAACUCCUGUCAUUGGUGAACAAGGUCUACCGGGUAACUACCGGUGGGAUUGAUAGUAGCCGAAGAGGAAGAGACGGCUAACUCUGUGCCAGCAGCCGCGGUAAUACAGAGGUCUCAAGCGUUGUUCGGAUUCAUUGGGCGUAAAGGGUGCGUAGGCGGCGAGGCAAGUCUGGUGUGAAAUCCCGGGGCUCAACCCCGGAACUGCACUGGAUACUGCUUUGCUAGAGUACUGGAGAGGGAACUGGAAUUUACGGUGUAGCAGUGAAAUGCGUAGAUAUCGUAAGGAAGACCAGCGGCGAAGGCGAGUUCCUGGACAGUUACUGACGCUGAGGCACGAAGGCCAGGGGAGCAAACGGGAUUAGAAACCCUAGUAGUCC
rnacentral:rRNA from 1 species